GAUGAACGCUGGCGGCGUGCCUAAUACAUGCAAGUCGAGCGAACAGACGAGGAGCUUGCUCCUCUGACGUUAGCGGCGGACGGGUGAGUAACACGUGGAUAACCUACCUAUAAGACUGGGAUAACUUCGGGAAACCGGAGCUAAUACCGGAUAAUAUAUUGAACCGCAUGGUUCAAUAGUGAAAGACGGUUUUGCUGUCACUUAUAGAUGGACCCGCGCCGCAUUAGCUAGUUGGUAAGGUAACGGCUUACCAAGGCAACGAUGCGUAGCCGACCUGAGAGGGGGAUCGGCCACACUGGAACUGAGACACGGUCCAGACUCCUACGGGAGGCAGCAGUAGGGAAUCUUCCGCAAUGGGCGAAAGCCUGACGGAGCAACGCCGCGUGAGUGAUGAAGGUCUUCGGAUCGUAAAACUCUGUUAUUAGGGAAGAACAAAUGUGUAAGUAACUAUGCACGUCUUGACGGUACCUAAUCAGAAAGCCACGGCUAACUACGUG
rnacentral:rRNA from 1 species